rnacentral:lncRNA from 1 species
GCAAAUCCAUUUUUCAAACUCAAAGAAAAUCACAAAUGGCAACUGCUCUCAUGUCUUCUCUCCCUCAAUUCACUGGCCUCAAAGCCACCUCACCAUCACCCACCCCAAUCCAAAGCAUGGUAAGUUUAUUCUACUUCUUGUAAUAGUUUUUUUGAAUCAUUGUGUCGAUUUUUUUGUUUUUAAAUUAACAAAUGUCUUGUAGAAACAUGAAAAAAGUCAUUUUAUAUUGCCAAAUACAAUAGGUAACUGGUAAAAUUGCUUUUAUGCGUUGAAAUGAAUCGGUGCGGGUUGACAUGAUUUGUCCAAGUUCUUUUAGUUUUUAACAAUUGCAAGUAUACUAGAUAUAAUGACAAAAAUUAUAUUAUUAUAAUAAUAUUUUAAAAUUUUAGUAUACAAACUAAAAAUCUAGUUUUAAGCAACUUUUAUCUUGUUACAACAAGCUAUAAAUAUUUUUACCAACCUCUAGUUUGCAGCAAGUCAAAGUAAGGUAAUUCAAUAAGUCAACCAUGAUCGGCCCUUUUUCGUUGUUGCAAACUAAUAAUGGUUGUUUCAUAAAUGAGAAAAUGGUAAAUUUGUAAGAACGAAUAGUUACUGAGAAUUGUGUAGAUAUAUAAAUAUGAAAAAACCAUUAAAUAUGUAUGUUUGAUUAAAUGUAGUGGUUUAUUAUAAUAAAAAAGUCAAAUAUAAUACCCAAAAAGUUUAUAUGUUUCAUAUUUUUUUGGUACUUAGUAAUCAAUUUUUCAUGUUUUGUAGUAAUUUAAAUAAAAAUGUUGAUCAACUUAGCAGUGGAUAAAAAAAUUAAGUUUUUUGGAGGAAUUUUGUAUUUACUAGUAAUCAUUCAAGUAAUUUGUUUUUUGUUUAUUCUGAUUAUGUAAUGAGUAUAAUGUUUAUAAAUCUUAUAUUCCUCUUAGUAAUUAAUUUAUAUUAUAAAAAACACCGUUUGUUUUUUUUUCAUCUUUAUUUUUCACAUGUUAUACUUAAAACUGAUGUGGUUAUAAAAUACAACCAGGUAGCAUUACCAAUGAAGCCUAAGGGAAAGGGAAAGGGAGCUCUAGGUGUUCGUUGUGAUUUCAUUGGGUCAUCCACAAAUUUGGUAAAUUAUUUCUAUUCAAGCAUUUUUAUAUUCAAUUAUAUCAAAUGAAUGCAUGACAAUAAACGAAUAGUUAAGAGUUUCUAUAGGCUAAUUGUUUGGGUAUAUAGAUCAUGGUGACAUCAACAACCUUGAUGCUGUUUGCUGGUCGAUUUGGAUUGGCACCAUCAGCAAACAGGAAGGCAACUGCGGGGCUAAAGCUUGAGGUAAGGGAUUCAGGCCUCCAAACUGGCGACCCUGCUGGCUUCACUCUUGCUGAUACUUUAGCUU